UACGUAGGGUGCAAGCGUUAAUCGGAAUUACUGGGCGUAAAGCGUGCGCAGGCGGUUGUGCAAGACAGAUGUGAAAUCCCCGGGCUCAACCUGGGAAUUGCAUUUGUGACUGCACGGCUAGAGUGUGUCAGAGGGGGGUAGAAUUCCACGUGUAGCAGUGAAAUGCGUAGAGAUGUGGAGGAACACCGAUGGCGAAGGCAGCCCCCCUGGGCUAACACUGACGCCUCAUGCACGAAAGCGUGGGGAGCAAACAGG
rnacentral:rRNA from 1 species